UGAGGUAUUGUAACGUCCAGUCAAUAAUCUCGCCGCUAAUCUCAGCUUCCGUGAGAUCGUAAGUGCUCACUUUGACAGGCAGCUGAUCAUCGGGGUCAACAUCGGCGACGAAAUUCACGAAAAACCGGCGGUAUGCACGGAGGGAGGAUCGAAAAUUAAAAACACUCUCUCUCUCGUCACGCGUCGUGUACUCCUCACUUUUUUUUUCUCACUGUUGAGACUCGAAUCCUCACAAUGUCUACGGAAUGAAGUUCGUCGCUAGUUGACGAUCACCCAACGCGCAUGGCUGGCUGAACUCAAAUGCAUUGGCAUAGAUGGCACUCGUAGAGGUGGGAGGGAAAUUCAAAUGACCUCUUCCACCGUGGGUCGAUUAUUUGGUCUAGAACAACGUUACAAACAUUAAAAACAUCGUUAUUAUUGCAAUUGUUAAAUUAUCGCAUAAGAGUACUUGAUUUAUUUACAAUAAAUAAUUACAUAAUUUCAGAAUAA